GUAGUCGUGGCCGAGUGGUUAAGGCGACAGACUUGAAAUCUGUUGGGAUAUUCCCGCCCAGGUUCAUAUCCUGCCGACUACG
rnacentral:tRNA from 1 species